rnacentral:lncRNA from 10 species
AAGAUCUAUAACCCGGCCAGGCUUGCUGGAUAUUUCUUCUGAGCUAGAUGAGGUUUGUGCAAUCUUAGCUGGGCUUUCUCAUUUUUGUCUGCAUUCAGUUCAUGGAUGGGGAGGGAACUGGAAAGUCAACAUAGCUUAAUUCAGGUCGGUGGCACUUGGCAGUUGGUUGGCUCAUGUAAAGAGGAUGACUAAGCCACAUGUCUCAUCAUCCAGGUUUUCGCUCAUGGAGAGGACAACUUUCAUGCCAAAGAGAGAAGUGCAGAGGGCUUCUGAAAGUUUAUGUUGGGAACCGACACACUCUUAUCUCUGCUGUACUUUUUCUGACAAGGCAAGUCACAGACCUGCCCAGAUGCAAAUGUGAAGUACAGAUUCCAUCUCUUAGUGGAAGGAAACACAGAGUGAAUUCAAGAAGGGAUGCAAGACUAUGCCUGACUUUGCAAUCUACCACAGCUGUUAACCAAGUGACGUUCUGACUUGUCACAACAUUCAACAAGU